GACGAACGCUGGCGGCGUGCUUAACACAUGCAAGUCGAACGGAAAGGCCCUGCUUUUGUGGGGUGCUCGAGUGGCGAACGGGUGAGUAACACGUGAGUAACCUGCCCUUGACUUUGGGAUAACUUCAGGAAACUGGGGCUAAUACCGGAUAGGAGCUCCUGCUGCAUGGUGGGGGUUGGAAAGUUUCGGCGGUUGGGGAUGGACUCGCGGCUUAUCAGCUUGUUGGUGGGGUAGUGGCUUACCAAGGCUUUGACGGGUAGCCGGCCUGAGAGGGUGACCGGCCACAUUGGUACUGCGAUACGGCCCAGACUCCUACGGGAGGCAGCAGUGGGGAAUAUUGCACAAUGGGCGGAAGCCUGAUGCAGCGACGCCGCGUGCGUGAUGACGGCCUUCGGGUUGUAAACCGCUUUCGCCUGUGACGAAGCGUGAGUGACGGUAAUGGGUAAAGAAGCACCGGCUAACUACGUG
rnacentral:rRNA from 1 species